GCACUGCUGAGGAGUCCCACAAUAGGAUGAAACGGCCUUACAGUGC
rfam:Schistosoma mattheei strain Denwood, Zambia genome assembly, scaffold: SMTD_scaffold0006971